UCCUGGCAGUAAACGGUGCACGUUUGGUGUGGGAGGAUUCGACCCCUUCCGUGCCGGAGCUAACGCGUUAAACGUGCCGCCUGGGGAGUACGGUCGCAAGAUUAAAACUCAAAGAAAUUGACGGGGACCCGCACAAGCGGUGGAGUAUGUGGCUUAAUUCGAUGCAACGCGAAGAACCUUACCUGGCCUUGACAUGCAUCUCUAAUCCGGUGAAAGCCGG
rnacentral:rRNA from 1 species